rnacentral:rRNA from 1 species
AUUGAACGCUGGCGGCAGGCCUAACACAUGCAAGUCGAACGAGUGGCGGACGGGUGAGUAAUGUCUGGGCAACUGCCUGAUGGAGGGGGAUCAAUACUGGACACGGUAGCUAAUACCGCCUACCAUCGGAUGUGCCCAGCUGGGAUUAGCUAGUAGGUGGGGUAACGGCUCACCUAGGCGACGAUCCCUAGCGGGUCCGAGCGGCUGACCGGCCAAACGGGAACGGGGACACGGUCCGAACUCCUACGGAAGGAGGCAGUGGGGAAUAUUGCACAAUGGGGGCAAGCCGGAUGCAGCCAGGCCGCGUGGAGGAAGAAGGCCUUCGGGUGGUAAAGUACGUUCAGCGGGGAGGCGUUACCCGCAGAAGAAGCACCGGCUAACUCCGUGCCAGCAGCCGCGGUAAUUC